rnacentral:lncRNA from 1 species
AUAUAUAUAUAUAUAUUAAAUUUUAAAUUAAAUUUUAUACCCCUAAAAACAAUAACAAUUAAUAUGCAUCUGCCAUCCACCCUUUGAAAGAAAAAGGGAGGGAAAAAAAUAAAAUGAUAGGAAAACGAAACAAAAAAUAGAGGGAAAGAUGGGUGUACCAGUACCACUGUACCGUGUAGUGUAGGUGAGGUGAGGUGUCCACCCUUUGAAGAAAAAGGGAGGGAAAAAGAUUUCAAAAAAAAAAAGGAGGGAAAAAAGAAAAUGAUAAGAAAAGGAAACAAAAAAGAAAGGGAAAGAUGAGAUACGCAUCCUACGAAACUAAUUUCAACGAUCCAACCGUCAAACAUGUUUGUAUAUGUUUUGAGAUCGUAUACGUCAAAAAUUGCAAAAAACAAACAUUAAGAGAUCAAGUAACGGGACAAAACUUUUCGACGGUUAUAAACCAAAAAUCACGAUUUAACGGUUAUUUUAACUCCGAUUUUGAUGAUUUUUUACAGCUACACUCCUUAACCCUAUAUGAAUACAAUGAAUGAACUCGAUCUUCAAUUUAAAAUACUUACAAUAGUGGAUACCACAAAAUCUUAUGUUAUACUUAAUGAAAGUAUGAAUAAACUCUUAAGUAUUAGUGAAUCUAUUGUUUUUAUGGGAUACGCAUUCUGUGAAACUAGUUUCAACGAUCCAACCGUCAAACAUGUUUGUAUAUACUUCGAGAUCACAUACACUAAAAAUUGCAAAAAAAAAACAUUAAGAGAUUAAUUAACGGGACAAAACUUUUCGAUGGUUAUAAACCAAAAAUCACGAUUUAACGGUUAUUUUAACUCCGAUUUUGAUGAUUUUUUACAGCUACACUCCUUGACCCUAUAUGAAUACAAUGAAUGAACUUGAUCUUCAAUUUAAAAUAUUUAAAAUAGUGGAUACCAUAAAAUCUUAUGUUAUACUUAAUGAAAGUAUGAAUAAAUUCUAAAGUAUUAGUGAAUCUAUUGUUUUUAUGGGAUAUGCGUUCUACGAAACUAGUUUCAACGAUCCAAUCGUCAAACAUGUUUGUAUAUACUUCGAGAUCACAUACGCCAAAAAUUGAAAAAAAACAAACAUUAAGAGAUCAAGUAACGGGACAAAAAUUUUCGACAGUUAUAAAACGAAAAAUCACGAUUUAACGGUUAUUUUAACUUCGAUUUUGAUGAUUUUUUACAGCUACACUCCUUGACCCUAUAUGAAUACAAUGAAUGAACUCAAUCUUCAAUUUAAAUAUUUACAAUCGUAGAUACUACAAAAUCUUAUGUUAUACUUAAUGAAAGUAAGAAUAAACUCUUAAAUAUUAGUAAAUCUAUUGUUUUUAUGGGAUACGCAUUCUACGAAACUAGUUUCAACGAUCCAACCGUCAAACAUGUUUGUAUAUACUUCGAGAUCACAUACGCCAAAAAUUGCAAAAAACAAACAUUAAGAGAUCCAGUAACGAGAUAAAACUUUUCGAUGGUUAUAAAAUGAAAAAUCACGAUUUAACAGUUAUUUUAACUCCGAUUUUGAUGAUUUUUUACAGCUACACUCCUUGACCCUAUAUGAAUACAAUGAAUGAACUCGAUCUUCAAUUUAAAAUAUUUAUAAUAGUGGAUACCACAAAGUCUUAUGUUAUACUUAAUGAAAGUAUGAAUAAGCUCUUAAGUGUUAGUGAAUCUAUAUAUUAAAUUAAAUUUAAAAAUUUGACUAUUAGUGUAUGAAUGUUUUUUAAACUCUUAUUUUCGAAUGUAGAUGUAGUACUUAAACGAUAAAUGUGUUUUAAUGUUUUGAAGUAAUAUUUAUGUGGCAAUGUGUGGUAUGUGCAAAUUUAAGAAAAAAAUAUAUUUUUCUUAAUGGGUCGUAACUAUGGAUGCAAAUUUUCUCCUCCUCGAUCUUGGACGAUUUUGCACCUACAAAACAACUAACACCUUAGGUUAAGGCCAAAAGCCUCACGCGCCCACGAUGAAUAGGGGGCUUUGGCAGAAGAACCUCCGAUGCCAAAGUUAGAAUUUUAGAGAGAAAUAGUGUUUAGAGUAUUUGGGAUUUUUUGUAAGAGAAUUUGAAUGAUCUUUUGGUGAAAAUGAGAAUCUAUUUAUAGGGAUAGGGGUGGCCGGCCUAGCUAGGGUUUUUGUGUUUGAUUUAGGUUUAAUUAGCCAAUUUAUUUGGCUAUUAAACAUAAAAUGAAUGUUUUG